rnacentral:lncRNA from 1 species
GUCCUUGAAGCCAAUAUAAAAACUAAACCAAAGGCUAAUCAUGUAUCCACCAAUACAAUACCACAAGGUCAUACCAAAAUAAAGUUGUUUUUCAAGAAGUCAUUACUACAUGUCCAAAUAAUUAACUAAAUAAGUACCUAAACCAUAUUAAACAAUGAAGUCACUUGGUUCCACUCCUUUGGCUUGACAGAAAAGAUGAGGAUGUGCCUUCUUGACUGGAAGUCUUUGUGUUCCUUGAUGUACUCAUCCGUUAGAGUUGGUGUCAUGACCCAAAAUCCACUAAGGGUCGCGAUGGCGCCGGACACCCUGUUAGGCAAGCCAACCAUCAAUACUUAAUUAAAAUUCUCGUUUUGAAAAUUUUGAAAUCAUGAUUUUUCUUGAAUUUAAGAGUAAAAGAUGGACUUUACAGAAUAAAAAAUAAUAUUUUUAACAAUUUCAAUACUGAAUAACCCAUAAUCAUCCUAAAAUCCGGUGUCACAAGUGCAUGAGCAGUUUCUAAGAAAUAAUGUAAAAUAAUGACUGUCCGGAAUAUAAAUUGGACAGAGAAGAAAAUACAGUACAGUACUCUGAAAGAGACUUUGUUGGCUGCGGGUCGUCUCGAGAGGUGCAGCUCACCUAAGUCUCCGUAUCAAUCAUGCCGCUACACCCGACUAGGCUACUAGACAUACAUGUGCAUGUGCAACAAAAAUGCACAGCAAGUGUUGUAUGAGUACAAAAACAACGUGUACCCAGUAAGUAUCCCGUCCAACCUCGAAGAAGUAGUGACGAGAGGUCGAAUUUGACACUUACUAGUGGUCCAAUAAUAAUGUAUUAAUAAUGUGAAUAAUCAUGGAUUUAUUAGAAACGACAGUAAACUCAAGUAAAUCAAGAAAACAAGUAAACAAUCCUUUUUAUAUUAGGAAGUCUCCAAAUUCAUAUUCCAUUGUUUAUCAAUUUAUCUCGGACCAGGGAGGCAAUAUUAUUUUUUGUAAAUCUCAAGCAAGAAUUACAAGCAUGCGCAAAUCAUGCCAAGAUCAUACGGCCCGAUCCAACAUAAAUGUAAAAUGUGCACUGCCGAGGGUCGAACGGCGUGAACCAUAGAUGCAUCUAUUACCCCACUCGCGAAUCAUACAUGCGACACGGUCAAAUAUAAAUAAUUAAGUUACCCCGCUCGCGAAUCAUACAUGCGACGCAGGUACUUAUAGAUACACAUUUUCAAACAAUCAAUUAAAAAUUCAUCAGGAAACAUUUAUCCAAGCAAAAGCCAAUUCUCUUUUAACGAUUUAAGAAAAUGAAGUUUAAUCCCUUUUAAAAAAAAAAUUCUUUUACUAAUUCGAUAUGAUUUAAGUAAUUUAAGUUGUCAAUAAGAUUAUACAUAGUUUAGGUAUAACAUGCUUUUGGGUCCUAGACUACCCGGACUUAAGCACAAUAGUAGCUACGCAUGGACUCUCGUCACCUUGUGCGUACGUAGCCCCCCCAAAUAGAAGCACAUAACCAAUUAUUUUACCUAUGGGGACAAUUCCCUCUUACAAGGUUAGAAAGGAGACUUACCUUGCUUCGAAGUUCCAUAGUCGGCUCCCAAGCCUUUCAAACAACUCGACCGAUGCCCAACGCUCCAAAACUCACUUUUGCUUUAUUAACAUUCACAAGCUUUAAAUCCUCCUCCGACAUUGUAACAUUGAGUAAAAUGCUCAUACGCCACCAACAAAUUGAUAUCUACAAUUACAAUCAAAAUAUGACUCAAAAAUAUUUAUCAAUAUCCAUCUAUGGCUCACAAGUUGGCUACAAGCCUUCGGCUCAAAUCGUCUAAUUAAUUCUAGCACACUCUACUCUUAUUAUUUAAUACCUAUUUGAAGUCAUCAACAAUACUACAUUAAUUCUCCAACACCGCCAAAUUACUAUUCAUUGUUUUCCUUAACCAACAUUUCCAAAACAUUCAAUUUAGUGAUUACUUAGUUGAAAACUUCCAACUAAGCUAGAAAAUGAUUCUAUAAGUUCAUUGCAUCCUUUAAUUUCAUUUCUAAUAACACUAUUUAUCUUUCCCUAAUUUUCUCAAGAACACUAUUCAUGCUAUGAACUAGGGAUUAUGAAAUCAAUUAUCCGACCAUAACAACUUGAAACAAAUAUUAGAAUUACUCUCACCGACUUAUAAAAAAUGAGCUUGAAGCAUUAAAAUUACCUUCUUGAAGUUUUUCCUUAAAAAUCCAAUGUUUGGAAAAUUUGGUGUUCUUGAACAACUUGAAAGAUUUCUAUGGAUUUCAAAGAAUGAAUGAUGUUAAUACUAGUGUUAAUAGGAUGUU